rnacentral:rRNA from 1 species
CGGACGGGUGAGUAACGCGUGGGUAACCUGCCUUGUACUGGGGGACAACAGUUGGAAACGACUGCUAAUACCGCAUAAGCGCACAGCUUCGCAUGAAGCAGUGUGAAAAACUCCGGUGGUACAAGAUGGACCCGCGUCUGAUUAGCUGGUUGGUGAGGUAACGGCCCACCAAGGCAACGAUCAGUAGCCGGCCUGAGAGGUUGACCGGCCACAUUGGGACUGAGACACGGCCCAGACUCCUACGGGAGGCAGCAUG